rnacentral:rRNA from 1 species
UACGUAGGGGGCGAGCGUUGUCCGGAUUUAUUGGGCGUAAAGAGCGUGUAGGCGGCCAGGUAGGUCUGCUGUGAAAACUCGAGGCUCAACCUCGAGACGUCGGCGGAAACCAUCUGGCUAGAGUCCGGAAGAGGAGAGUGGAAUUCCUGGUGUAGCGGUGAAAUGCGUAGAUAUCGAGAGGAACACCUGCGGCGAAGGCGGGUUGCUGGGCUGACACUGACGCUGAUGCGCGAAAGCUAGGGGAGCGAACGGG